AACGAACGCUGGCGGCAUGCCUAACACAUGCAAGUCGAACGAGAUCUUCGGGUCUAGUGGCGCACGGGUGCGUAACGCGUGGGAAUCUGCCCUUUGGUUCGGAAUAACAGUUGGAAACGACUGCUAAUACCGGAUGAUGACGAAAGUCCAAAGAUUUAUCGCCAGAGGAUGAGCCCGCGUAGGAUUAGCUAGUUGGUGUGGUAAAGGCGCACCAAGGCGACGAUCCUUAGCUGGUCUGAGAGGUUGAUCAGCCACACUGGGACUGAGACACGGCCCAGACUCCUACAGGAGGCAGCAGUGGGGAAUAUUGGACAAUUGGCGAAAGCCUGAUCCAGCAAUGCCGCGUGAGUGAUGAAGGCCUUAGGGUUGUAAAGCUCUUUUACCCGGGAUGAUAAUGACAGUACCGGGAGAAUAAGCUCCGGCUAACUCCGUGCCAGCCGCCGCAGUAA
rnacentral:rRNA from 1 species